rnacentral:rRNA from 1 species
UACGUAGGGGGCUAGCGUUGUCCGGAAUCAUUGGGCGUAAAGAGCGUGUAGGCGGCCCGGUAAGUCCGCUGUAAAAGUCAAAGGCUCAACCUUUGAAUGUCAGUGGAUACUGCCCGGGCUAGAGUCCGGAAGAGGCGAGUGGAACUCCUGGUGUAGCGGUGGAAUGCGCAGAUAUCAGGAAGAACACCAACGGCGAAGGCAGCUCGCUGGGACGGUACUGACGCUGAGACGCGAAAGCGUGGGGGGAGCGAACAGG